rnacentral:rRNA from 1 species
UANAAUAAGCGGAGGAAAAGAACCCAACAGGGAUUGCCUUAGUAGCGGCGAGUGAAGCGGCAAAAGCUCAAAUUUGAAAUCUGGCACUUUCAGUGUCCGAGUUGUAAUUUGAAGAAGGUAUCUUUGGGUCUGGCUCUUGUCUAUGUUUCUUGGAACAGAACGUCACAGAGGGUGAGAAUCCCGUGCGAUGAGAUGUCCCAGACCUAUGUAAAGUUCCUUCGAAGAGUCGAGUUGUUUGGGAAUGCAGCUCUAAGUGGGUGGUAAAUUCCAUCUAAAGCUAAAUAUUGGCGAGAGACCGAUAGCGAACAAGUACAGUGAUGGAAAGAUGAAAAGAACUUUGAAAAGAGAGUGAAAAAGUACGUGAAAUUGUUGAAAGGGAAGGGCUUGAGAUCAGACUUGGUAUUUUGUAUGUUACUCUCUCGGGGGUGGCCUCUACAGUUUACCGGGCCAGCAUCAGUUUGAGCGGUAGGAUAAGUGCAAAGAAAUGUGGCACUGCUUCGGUAGUGUGUUAUAGUCUUUGUCGAUACUGCCAGCUUAGACUGAGGCC